UUCAACUAUCAAUCAUGUUACAGUGGGGCAAAGAAGUAUUUAGUCAGCCACCAAUUGUGCAAGUUCUCCCACUUAAAAAGAUGAGAGAGGCCUGUAAUUUUCAUCAUAGAUAUACCUCAACUAUGAGAGACAAAAGGAGAAAAAAAAAUCCAGAAAAUCACAUUGUCUGAUUUUUAAAGAAUUUAUUUAUAUUCAAACAACCAUAUAAUCUUUUUUUACUAUUCUUUCUAAACAUUUGACAUCAUUAGAACCCACACUUUAAGAAUCUGUAAAUAACUCAAAAGGCUGGUUCCUGGUUUUGUCGUGGCCAGGGACAUAUUUGAACAUCACUUAUAGCUUGUGGUCCUCUGUUCGGCUGUAGUAACAUGAUGAAACUCUGAUCCUGCAAUCUUUCACCUUUUUAUUUCCGCUGUUGCCUAGCAACCAGUGAACUCUUCCUCUGUACGAUCCAUUCAGAUGGAAAAGCAGUGAGCACUGAACCAUUUUGUGUGUUAGUUAAAAUAUACAUAAGUUAGAUUGGAACUAAAAUCUGUAAUUACGUAACUUUCAUAUUUGGAAAUGUUUUGAUUACUUUGGUAACUUUUAGGCCCACCUCCCAUUUAAUUUCCCUUUGGGAUUAAUAAAGUAUUUUUGAAUUUGAAUUCAUUUAAAAGAUUAAGAACACACCAGGAGGCGUGGUGGAAGUCUUUUGUUUGUCAAAUGUCCGUGUGACCAUGUGGGUUUUUGGUAAAAUGACUUAUUGACCAAUUUUUGAAGUUGAAACAUUAGAUUAUGUCAGCUUCAGUUUUAAUCUGAGUUGUAAGAGAUUUUUAGAUUUAAUUUCAUCCAUAUUUUUGCAAGAAAUAAGCUAUGUAUAUUUUUUCAAACAAUCAAACAAAACACUUGUUGCUGCUCACAGCCUUUCUUGGAAAAUUUAGGUUUUGGAACUUAGAAGUCUGCGACAGUGUCUAGAUUAGUGCAAACCACUCCGUCUUCAAACUUGAAAUAGAUUCUGCUGAGUUUAUAUGUGACACUGUCCAUCAUUGUUCUUGACCUUUGACCUUUCAAUCAGGUGGGAUAUGUUUGUGAUUACUUGAACAUUUUGUCUUCAAAGUUGAUGUAUUAGAAGUACGAGGAAUGGACAGUGUAAGGAUUUUGACUGGGUCAGAAACUUUUGCAAAAUUGCAGCUUGUUGGUUGACCAUCUGCAAUAGUGUGAGGAAAAAACAUUGGUAAAUCAGCCACAGGGUCAUAGGUCACCAAGACUGAUAAGUGCAUGUCUGGUAUGAAGGUUGGUCCGUGUGCUCCGAUUAAACAGACGGGUUUCUGUGACUGAAUAAGUUGUUGUCAUUUUCAAAGAAAAGUGUCAGAAUACACAGCAAACCAUAAGCCCCUUUCAUUUCAGGGUUGUUGAUUAUGGUGGUGCAAUAUUUAUUUUAAACAUGUAAGCAAUGAAUGUCAGCAGAGAAAUCAAAGAAUACAAAAAUAAAAAUGGGAAGGAUAAUCAAACAUCAAAAUAAAAACAUUUAUUCAGUUUGAAACAUAGGAAGAAGCUAAUGCUUAUUAAAUCAUAAUUCUAUUUGACUCUGCCAGGAUAUGCAUUAUGUAUUUCAGCCUAUAAUGUAUAAUCCAAAUACUUCCCACAUUCUAAAUAUUUCUGCAUAUGAUUUGUUCUCCAUGACACAAUACACCUCCCAAAAAUCAUCUACACCAGUGGUUCUCAAACUUUUUUCAUUGAUGUACCCCCUUAAAAAUAUAUUUUUAGUCACAGUGCUGUAAAAUCACUGUCUGAUUUAUUAAAGCCAAACAACUUAUAUCAGUGAACCUGACAAAUACUGUACAUCCAUAUUGCAAACAUUGCAUGGUUAAACAAAAAAGAAAAACAGAAGACGGUGACCACCAGGAAGGUAUAAAACCAGUCAAAACUGAAAUAUGCAAAACGCUGCUAAUUUAUAUUGGUCUCUGUAAUGGUACAAAAUUAAA